ACUCCUACGGGAGGCAGCAGUGGGAAUAUUGCACAAUGGGCGCAAGCCUGAUGCAGCCAUGCCGCGUGUGUGAAGAAGGCCUUCGGGUUGUAAAGCACUUUCAGCAGUGAGGAAGGUGGGUAUGUUAAUAGCAUACUCAUUUGACGUUAGCUGCAGAAGAAGCACCGGCUAACUCCGUGCCAGCAGCCGCGGUAAUACGGAGGGUGCGAGCGUUAAUCGGAAUUAUUGGGUUUAAAGGGUCCGUAGGCGGGCCGGUAAGUCAGGGGUGAAAGUCUGUAGCUCAACUAUAGAACUGCCUUUGAUACUGCCGGUCUUGAGUCACGGUGAAGUUGCCGGAAUAUGUGGUGUAGCGGUGAAAUGCAUAGAUAUCACAUAGAACACCGAUUGCGAAGGCAGGUGACUAACCGUGUACUGACGCUGAUGGACGAAAGCGUGGGGAGCGAACAGGAUUAGAUACCCUGGUAGGCUCUGCU
rnacentral:rRNA from 1 species